rnacentral:rRNA from 1 species
UACGUAGGGGGCUAGCGUUGUCCGGAAUCAUUGGGCGUAAAGAGCGUGUAGGCGGCUUGGUAAGUCCGCUGUGAAAGUCCAGGGCUCAACCCUGGAAUGCCAGUGGAUACUGUCAAGCUAGAGUCCGGAAGAGGCGAGUGGAAUUCCUGGUGUAGCGGUGAAAUGCGCAGAUAUCAGGAGGAACACCAAUGGCGAAGGCAGCUCGCUGGGACGGUACUGACGCUGAGACGCGAAAGCGUGGGGAGCAAGCAGG